rnacentral:rRNA from 1 species
UAGGGAAUCUUCCGCAAUGGGCGAAAGCUUGACGGAGCAACGCCGCGCGAGUGAUGAAGGUCUUCGGAUCGUAAAACUCUGUUAUUAGGGAAGAACAAAUGUGUAAGUAACUAUGCACGUCUUGACGGUACCUAAUCAGAAAGCCACGGCUAACUACGUGCCAGCAGCCGCGGUAAUACGUAGGUGGCAAGCGUUAUCCGGAAUUAUUGGGCGUAAAGCGCGCGUAGGCGGUUUUUUAAGUCUGAUGUGAAAGCCCACGGCUCAACCGUGGAGGGUCAUUGGAAACUGGAAAACUUGAGUGCAGAAGAGGAAAGUGGAAUUCCCUGUGUAGCGGUGAAAUGCGCAUAGAUAUGGAGGAACACCAGUGGCGAAGGCGACUUUCUGGUCUGUAACUGACGCUGAUGUGCGAAAGCGUGGGGAUCAAACAGG